UACGUAGGGGGCAAGCGUUGUCCGGAUUAUUGGGUGUAAAGAGCGUGUAGGCGGCCUGACAAGUCUGCUGUGAAAACUCGGAGGCUCAACCUCGAGAUGUCGGCGGAAACUGUCUGGCUAGAGUCCGGAAGAGGAGAGUGGAAUCCUGGUGUAGCGGUGAAAUGCGCAGAUAUCAGGAAGAACACCUAUGGCGAAGGCAGCUGCUCUGGGACGGUACUGACGCUGAGACGCGAAAGCGUGGGGAGCGAACAGG
rnacentral:rRNA from 1 species